rnacentral:lncRNA from 1 species
AUGUGGAGGCUAUAUACAGGGUAUUACGGUACAGAGUCAAUGUGGAGGCUAUAUACAGGGUAUUACGGUACAGCGUCAAUGUGGAGGCUAUAUACAGGGUAUUACGGUACAGAGUCAAUGUGGAGGCUAUAUACAGGGUAUUACGGUACAGAGUCAAUGUGGAGGCUAUAUACAGGGUAUUACGGUACAGCGUCAAUGUGGAGGCUAUAUACAGGGUAUUACGGUACAGCGUCAAUGUGGAGGCUAUAUACAGGGUAUUACGGUACAGAGUCAAUGUGGAGGCUAUAUACAGGGUAUUACUGUACAGAGUCAAUGUGGAGGCUAUAUACAGGGUAUUACGGUACAGCGUCAAUGUGGAGGCUAUAUACAGGGUAUUACGGUACAGAGUCAAUGUGGAGGCUAUAUACAGGGUGUUACUGUACAGAGUCAAUGUGGAGGCUAUAUACAGGGUAUUACGGUACAGCGUCAAUGUGGAGGCUAUAUACAGGGUGUUACUGUACAGAGUCAAUGUGGAGGCUAUAUACAGGGUAUUACGGUACAGCGUCAAUGUGGAGGCUAUAUACAGGGUGUUACGGUACAGAGUCAAUGUGGAGGCUAUAUACAGGGUGUUACGGUACAGAGUCAAUGUGGAGACUAUAUACAGGGUGUUACGGUACAGAGUCAAUGUGGAGGCUAUAUACAGGGUAUUACGGUACAGAGUCAAUGUGGAGGUUAUAUACAGGGUAUUACGGUACAGAGUCAAUGUGGAGGUUAUAUACAGGGUGUUACGGUACAGAGUCAAUGUGGAGGCUAUAUACAGGGUAUUACUGUACAGAGUCAAUGUGGAGGCUAUAUACAGGGUAUUACGGUACAGCGUCAAUGUGGAGGCUAUAUACAGGGUGUUACGGUACAGAGUCAAUGUGGAGGCUAUAUACAGGGUAUUACGGUACAGAGUCAAUGUGGAGGCUAUAUACAGGGUAUUACGGUACAGAGUCAAUGUGGAGGCUAUAUACAGGGUGUUACUGUACAGAGUCAAUGUGGAGGCUAUAUACAGGGUGUUACGGUACAGAGUCAAUGUGGAGGCUAUACACAGGGGGUACUGGUACAGAGUCAAUGUGGAGGCUAUAUACAGGGUAUUACGGUACAGAGUCAUUAUGGAGGCUAUAUACAGGGGGUACCGGUACAGAGUCAAUGUGGAGGCUAUAUACAGGGUGUUACGGUACAGAGUCAAUGUGGAGGCUAUAUACAGGGGUACAGGUACUUUUUAAUUCUUUGUGGAUCUGUGUAAUCUGA